UUCAAUGUGUUAUGACAAACUUUCGCGUUCAGUUGUCGUUUUAUUUGUAUAAUAAAAUAUACAUAUAUAAAGCAGAGGUGUUUGAGUUUUGCCUUCUACCGGACUAUGAGAUACCAAUGUUGGUGACACUUCAGGAAAAAUAACCUAAUGCGCUAGCGUCAAGCAACUUCUCAAGUAACAGAAAAAAAUUAAUGAAAAUCACAUGGCCAUAAUGAAGGAUUUAUUCAUUUGGUAGUAACAAAUAAUAAAUUAUAUACGCCUAGGCGUACGGCUCAUAAGCAAGGACCUCGGUAAUGGUGGCUCGAAGAUACUUAGGCUUCACAAGUUAAUUGUAUCUCAAUGCACUUCGAGUAAAGCUAGUAAGUUAGGCCCAUUGCUCACACGCUUGUAUUCAAUUUGAAGCAAAUAUUUGUGUUUACAACUUGGAGUUAAGUUACUCGACGGCUUCUGGCGGAAAUGAAACGACGUCUACCCGUUCAGUUCUUUAGAUUACCGUUUAAUAUCAAUAUGUAACUUAUUAAUUUUUGUUUGAGAUGUUUUUUUUUUAAUCUAUCGGAGGGAGGCACGCUUUAGACGCUAGAACGCUUUUGACUUUCCUCCCCCCCAUAAUCGUCGAUAGCCUAAAGGGCUAUUCCAACUACGCGCGGAUUGGUAGGUGAACUCACGGGGCUUAGCUUGGGAGGAUUUAAUAACUCUAGCCCUAGCAAGAGCAGCGCUUCGAUGAAUCUACCAGCGGAUCGAAAACGCGACCCUUUGAAAAAAUCGAGCGAGAAAUUCAAUCUAAGGGCUAGGUUGCACCUCGAACUCUUCGUCGCAUUCAACAAUGGACACGUAGAAACACGACUUCAUAUUAUCUACACACAGAAAACAUGAUGUUAUGCACGCACAUUCUACAAGCACUUUUUUUUAGGAACUUUUUAAAUUAGGAGUUCAUGUUUGUAGUGGUUAUUAUUAUUUUUAUUAUAAAAAAUUUUAUUUAAGAAAAUAUAUGAAUUAUAGUGAUAUUUGUACAAUUGAUUUUUACAAGACUUUAUCCAGACUAGCUGCCUGUUGGUAAUGUAUUGUAAUUACUAGAUUUUACCUAAGAAACUAUAAAACUAUGACUUAAAAAACAUUUAGACAUUUCUCUUUAUUCUUAAAUUUGUAUUAAACUUAUGAUGAAUUCAUUGGCAUAAUACCACAAAAUAGGAUAUUUUUUGAAAAUAUAGUGAAGUAGAAAAUAUAGUGUCGCUAAGUGGUUUUGUAUAUGAUAAUAAAAAUAAGAAAAACAAAUUAAUGAUUUUUACUAGCAUUGCUGAUUAUUAUUUUUAAUAAAUUAUACACACAUAUAUAGUUAAUCAUCAGAGUAGUUGGUACGGUCACAAUAUUAUUUAUAUCGGUGCAUUUUACUGUCAUAUUGAACAUAGUAUUAAAUUUUUGGCAUAGUUAACCUUAGCUCUAAUAUUUAAUUUUCUAUUUUGAUCAGAGCAUAUUAAUGUCUAAACAAAUAAUAUCAGAAAAUUGAUAUACACCUAUGUGAAACCAAAAAGUACAACUUUGGUCUAUAGUGGUAGUGGAAAAAAAGAAAACUCAUAUAGCAAAUAAACUAAUUAGGACCUAGACUUAUUUUGGGGAAAUUAUAAAAAUAAUAAAAGUUUUUUUUUAGGAAGUUUUUAAGAUUACUCACCAUCUCGAUGAAUUUCGAAGAAACGGCAUUUAGUUCUUGAAUCUUCAUGAAAACUUUGUCAUAACUUAAAGUCCAAUAAAACUUAAAACGAUAAAA